CCUACGGGAGGCAGCAGUAGGGAAUAUUGCUCAAUGGGGGAAACCCUGAAGCAGCAACGCCGCGUGGAGGAUGAAGGUUUUCGGAGUGUAAACUCCUUUUGUUAGAGAAGAUAAUGACGGUAUCUAACGAAUAAGCAACGGCUAACUCCGUGCCAGCAGCCGCGGUAAUACGGAGGGUGCAAGCGUUACGCGGAAUCACUGGGCGUAAAGAGCGCGGAGGCGGGAUAGCAAGUCAGAUGUGAAAUCCUAUGGCUUAACCAUAGAACUGCAUUUGAAACUGUUAUUCUAGAGUAUGGGAGAGGUAGGUGGAAUUCUUGGUGUAGGGGUAAAAUCCGUAGAGAUCAAGAGGAAUACUCAUUGCGAAGGCGACCUGCUAGAACAUAACUGACGCUGAUGCGCGAAAGCGUGGGGAGCAAACAGGAUUAGAUACCCUAGUAGUC
rnacentral:rRNA from 1 species